UACAGAGGUGGCAAGCGUUGUUCGGAAUUACUGGGCGUAAAGGGCGCGUAGGCGGUUCGUUAAGUCCUGUGUGAAAUCCCCCGGCUCAACUGGGGAACUGCACAGGAAACUAGCGGGCUUGAGUUCGGGAGAGGGAAGCGGAAUUCCGGGUGUAGCGGUGAAAUGCGUAGAUAUCCGGAGGAACACCGGUGGCGAAGGCGGCUUCCUGGACCGACACUGACGCUGAGGCGCGAAAGCUAGGGAG
rnacentral:rRNA from 1 species